rnacentral:rRNA from 1 species
ACAUCUUUUGAUCACCUGAGAGAUCAGGUUUCCCCUUCGGGGGCAAAAUGACAGGUGGUGCAUGGUUGUCGUCAGCUCGUGUCGUGAGAUGUUGGGUUAAGUCCCGCAACGAGCGCAACCCUUAUGACUAGUUGCCAGCAUUUAGUUGGGCACUCUAGUAAGACUGCCGGUGACAAACCGGAGGAAGGUGGGGAUGACGUCAAAUCAUCAUGCCCCUUAUGACCUGGGCUACACACGUGCUACAAUGGAUGGUACAACGAGUUGCGAGACCGCGAGGUCAAGCUAAUCUCUUAAAGCCAUUCUCAGUUCGGACUGUAGGCUGCAACUCGCCUACACGAAGUCGGAAUCGCUAGUAAUCGCGGAUCAGCACGCCGCGGUGAAUACGUUCCCGGGCCUUGUA